rnacentral:rRNA from 1 species
CUACGGGUUGCUCCAGUGGGGAGUAUUGCACAAUGGGCGCAAGCCUGAUGCAGCCAUGCCGCGUGUAUGAAGAAGGCCUUCGGGUUGUAAAGUACUUUCAGCGGGGAGGAAGGGAGUAAAGUUAAUACCUUUGCUCAUUGACGUUACCCGCAGAAGAAGCACCGGCUAACUCCGUGCCAGCAGCCGCGGUAAUACGGAGAGUGCAAGCGUUAAUCGGAAUUACUGGGCGUAAAGCGCACGCAGGCGGUUUGUUAAGUCAGAUGUGAAAUCCCCGGGCUCAACCUGGGAACUGCAUCUGAUACUGGCAAGCUUGAGUCUCGUAGAGGGGGGUAGAAUUCCAGGUGUAGCGGUGAAAUGCGUAGAGAUCUGGAGGAAUACCGGUGGCGAAGACGGCCCCCUGGACGAAGACUGACGCUCAGGUGCGAAAGCGUGGGGAGCAAACAGGAUUAGAUACCCGAGUAGUC